rnacentral:tRNA from 1 species
GGGCGGUUAACUCAGCGGGAGAGUGCCUCCUUCACACGGAGGAAGCCACAGGUUCAAUCCCUGUACCGCCCACCA